AGCAGGUCUCAUGGUCUGUCUAUUUGGUACAAGCAACGAAGUAAUUUUCGAAAAAGAGACGAAGGUUAUAGAUUACAAAGGAAACGGAACGAUAAAUUUUUUGACAACGUACACAUGGCUGAACGAAAAAUAGGCCAGCAAAUGAAAUUACAAAAAUGUGGUCAUCGCGUGUCUAAACUCUGGUAGUUCUCUUUAACAUAGAAUCGCUUAUUUAGUUAAGAUUCCAUGCUGUUCGGUAGGUAAAUUAAACUAAGAAUACCAGGAGAAGGAUUAUGGGAGCUAAAAUAGAAGAGGAACCCUGUUCCAAAUUUGUAAAUAUUUGAGACCUGAGCCAGCCAUCACAACAACAAGAUAUCAAGUUCUGUUUGACCUGACAGCAGCAACAAUCUUAGUAUCAUCACUUAUUGGAUAAACUGCAUCCAUCCAUGCAUCCAUGAUUGGAGAAACCACGAUGUCAUUUGAGUUACGGAUCUCGCUUUUCCCCCAUUUAAAAUUCCCUCUGUCCUCGCGUACACCCAUGUGAGUGCGGGUGUGGAGGUGUUAAUGAGUCUGAGGCCCUUUUCCCAUCUCGCCUGGUGGAUUCUGCGGAUGGAACACUUGGUGAUGCCUGGCCGCAUUUCCCGGGCUUAAAGGUAGGAAAAAUAUAUCUAUGUUCUACUUCUCCCUUUUUGACUAUGGGGUGGCGUUGAGUGUAUAUCGUUACAUAGUACGGAGUGCGAUUAUUCCUGAGCUAUGCCCUGAGCCUUUUAUAGAUAACAACUUUUUGCGUGAGAUGGCCAUCGAUCGUAGGGACCUUAUAUCCCAUUAAUAUUUAGCGACAUCCAGUUGUGGAGAGGGGGAAAAAAUGCCCGUCUUUUUUCCUCUCUCAUAAACUACUGCGCUUCUUCUUGUGCGUACAGCCCUGCCCCACUACUUUCAGUCUCAUUCACUUUUACCGUUUAUCACUCAUUCUCAUUUUACCUAUUUAAAAAAAGUGAAAUUCUUUUCUCUUGCCGUUUUUGUUUACCCCAGAAGGGUUCAUGAAAUAGUUCAUUUAUGGAACGACUAUGCAGAUCAGGCUUGUUUUAUACCUCCCUAAUUUGACUGUGGAUAAACAAUCGAAUUCUGAAAUAUUUUAAUUCUUCAAACACUUCAAGCAGAGUGCAACUAGAAAAUAUUGCCGUUACACCGGCACCUUCUCGUUACACUUUUAAAAAACAACAAUCAAUUUUUCAUGUUUGUUUUAUAUGUGCGCAGUUAAUAAAGGUUUAGGUAGUUUCGACAAAGUCAUGACAAAUAAAAUUAAAUGAUAUAAUUAUUAAGAUUUUUGUUUCAUUUAAAGG